UUGAUCCUGGCUCAGAAUCAACGCUGGCGGCGUGCCUAACACAUGCAAGUCGAACGCGAAAGUCCCGCAAGGGAUGAGUAGAGUGGCAAACGGGUGAGUAACGCGUGGGUGACCUGCCUUCGAGUGGGGGAUAACGUCUCGAAAGGGACGCUAAUACUGCAUAACAUCCCGCCUUUUAAGAGGUGGAGAUCAAAGCCUGGGACCGCAAGGCCAGGCGCUUGAUGAGGGGCCCGCGUCUGAUUAGCUAGUUGGUGGGGUAAUGGCUCACCAAGGCAUCGAUCAGUAUCCGGCCUGAGAGGGCGGACGGACACACUGGGACUGAGACACGGCCCAGACUCCUACGGGAGGCAGCAGUGGGGAAUUGUUCGCAAUGGGCGCAAGCCUGACGACGCAACGCCGCGUGGAGGAUGAAGACCUUCGGGUCGUAAACUCCUUUCGAUCGAGACGAAUGGCCUUCGGGUAAACAGCCUGGAGGAGUGAC
rnacentral:rRNA from 1 species